CUGACGCUAAAGGGUGCCUAAAGCGUCGAAUAUUGAAGCAUGGUCAAAAUGAUUCCCAAGGCAUAUAUACACUAGAUGUCACCUUGGCUACGGCAGUUCAUUGGAACGAAUGCUUCAAUAGAGCCGCCACCAUGGAACAAGGGAGCCCCUCCUCUUUAAUACAGAAGCGUCAAUGUAGGCAAAGGUCUAACGGAAAUAAAAUCACCAUAAAUCGUCAUGAAUGCGAUUUUUCUAGUUUUUUGGUUCGUUCCAAUGGUCAGACAUGUAUUUAUCAUUGAGUCCAGA